rnacentral:tRNA from 1 species
GUUCAGUCCUCCCAGGCCCACCACUUCCUUAACACGAAGGUUAUCAGGGGCCGUAGCUCAGCUGGGAGAGCGCCUGCUUUGCAAGCAGGAUGUCGUCGGUUCGAUCCCGUCCGGCUCCACCAAAACGCGAUCUCGAAGAGAUCGUCGCUUCAGCCGCCACGUUGCGGUUUGGCAAGCGCGCGAUCCGCAGGAUCGUCGCGGUUCGCGACGGUCUUUACAGACCGCGUGUGGGUGUCGAGCAGAGAUGGUGAGAAAAAAGUCAUUCGAUAAAAGAGUUUGCGUCGAGCCUCGUGCUCCGCGCCUGUUCUGUUUGACAUCGUAAAGAGAAGAUUUGUUCGAACUUCAUGGCUGUAAAGCUGUGAUUUGUCGCAAGGGACGCUCAAUCCCUUGCCUAUGAUGGGUUUGCCUAACCGCGCCCUCGAACGGAUCUCGAGAAGCUGGUCUUUUUGUGCCAAUUCCAUUCGGUAAUGCCCCGCACAGGGUGUUGCUGGAGCGACGAUCCUUCGGAUCGCGCUUAGCUAAUCUCGCAAGAGAGAGGCUGAAGCGACGAUCUCUUCGAGAUCGCGCGAUGGGUAUUGGCAAUGAGAACGAUCAAGUGUCUUAAGGGCAAUUGGUGGAUGCCUUGGCAUGCACAGGCGAUGAAGGACGUGAUACGCUGCGAUAAGCU